rnacentral:rRNA from 1 species
CUYGCRRAGAUCAUGUCGAAACCUGCAAAGCAGAAAGACAGCGACCCAUUACAACACCCAGGGGUGACCCCAACCCCUGACGCUGAGUGUGUGCAGCCCUGCCUUGCGCCCUCAGCAUAAACGAACCCAGGCGCGGAACGCGUCAAGGAAUCAUAACGAAACGAGCUCCUGCCGUGGCCCCGGGGACGGUGAUCGCCGCAGCAGCUGUGUUGUGCUUGGUUAAGUCUAAAAUGACUCUCGGCAACGGAUAUCUCGGCUCUCGCAUCGAUGAAGAACGUAGCGAAAUGCGAUACUUGGUGUGAAUUGCAGAAUCCCGUGAACCAUCGAGUCUUUGAACGCAAGUUGCGCCUGAAGCCAUCAGGCUGAGGGCACGUCUGCCUGGGCGUCAAACACCGAUGCCCCCCCAAAUCCCCUCGUCACUCUCCCCUGAGUGCCCGGGGAGUGUGGGGGUCGGAUGAUGGCCUCCCGUGUCUUGGCUCGCGGUUGGCCCAAAGUCGAGUCCUCGGUCACGGUUACCGUGGUGACAGGUGGUUGUCGGUCGCUCGGUACCCCGUCACGUGCGCCGGACACGAAUCGAGACUCUCUUGAUUACCCCAACGCAUCCCCGUUUGGGUGCUCUUGAUGUGACCCCAGUUCAGGCGG